rnacentral:rRNA from 1 species
UGGGGAAUCUUGCGCAAUGGCCGAAAGGCUGACGCAGCGACGCCGCGUGGGGGAUGAAGGUUUUCGGAUCGUAAACCCCUGUUGCCCGGGACGAACUGCCUUUUUCGAGAGGCUUGACGGUACCGGGUGAGGAAGCACCGGCUAACUCCGUGCCAGCAGCCGCGGUAAUACGGAGGGUGCGAGCGUUGUCCGGAAUCACUGGGCGUAAAGGGCGCGUAGGCGGCCUGGCAAGUCGAUGGUGAAAGCUCAGGGCUCAACUCUGAGUCGGCCAUCGAUACUGCGAGGCUCGAGUCGACUAGAGGCAGAUGGAAUUCCGGGUGUAGCGGUGGAAUGCGUAGAGAUCCGGAAGAACACCGGUGGCGAAGGCGGUCUGCUGGGGUCGAACUGACGCUGAGGCGCGACAGCGUGGGGAGCAAACA